CCUACGGGCGGCAGCAGUGGGGAAUAUUGGACAAUGGGGGGAACCCUGAUCCAGCCAUGCCGCGUGUGUGAAGAAGGCCCUCGGGUUGUAAAGCACUUUCAGUGAGGAAGAACGCCUGGUGGUUAAUACCCAUCAGGAAAGACAUCACUCACAGAAGAAGCACCGGCUAACUCCGUGCCAGCAGCCGCGGUAAUACAGAGGGUGCGAGCGUUAAUCGGAAUUACUGGGCGUAAAGCGCGCGUAGGUGGCUUGAUAAGCCGGUUGUGAAAGCCCCGGGCUCAACCUGGGAACGGCAUCCGGAACUGUCAAGCUAGAGUGCAGGAGAGGAAGGUAGAAUUCCCGGUGUAGCGGUGAAAUGCGUAGAGAUCGGGAGGAAUACCAGUGGCGAAGGCGGCCUUCUGGACUGACACUGACACUGAGGUGCGAAAGCGUGGGUAGCAAACAGGAUUAGAUACCCUGGUAGUC
rnacentral:rRNA from 1 species